rnacentral:miRNA from 1 species
CCUAAAACUGUGUGGUCCAAUGCC